rnacentral:tRNA from 1 species
GUCCCCUUCGUCUAGAGGCCUAGGACACCGCCCUUUCACGGCGGCAGCACCGGUUCGAAUCCGGUAGGGGACG